CCAGGUCGGCAGCGAACGAAAGCCGCAAUACCCAUGCUGUUAUCAGACAUAACCAAAGUCUCUAAGUAGUUUUGGAAAAGUCUUGUAAGAUGUGAUGAUGAACUGGAGCGGCAGCCAUAUUUUCUCUUCUCCUUAGCACUAGUGACAGUGUUUUCUAAAGUGAUGUGAGUCCACAGUGCCCAGUGCUGUGAGUUUUUGUGAACUUGAAACGAAGCAACAUGUACCAGACUAAGAGAUGUAGCAAAAACCAAAGCAGCAGGACCAAACGCAUGAUCGCCAAGAACUAAGUGACGAACAGUACACAGAGGACAUAAAUUGGUUAGAAUCGAGGAUUCAUCCGUGGGAGUUGGCUGUCCAGAAGUGGGCUGCGACAGCGAACAGGAGGUUGUAUGAGUUUGAAACGUCUGACAAUACAAUUGAUCAAUACAUUGAAAAAUUCCCAAUCUUAAGCUCAGCAAAUGCUUCUCAAUUGAUUGAAAUUGACUUCAGUGUCCGUUAUGAGCAACAACGAAAUUUACUUCACAACAUUUGGCCACACUUGAAAACAAGUAUUCUUACUUUUGCAAAAAGUAAAAGGGAUGUGCCUUUUGCCAAGGCCAUACGACGAUUGAAAUUGGAUCUUGAUUCUGAAAGUAUGUAUCAUUGUGGUUCUUUCCUUUUAACCAGUACAAGUCUGCCCAAAUCCUUUAUGGGCCCCGGGACGAAUUGAAGUGACCGGACCUAGGGGCAAGGUGGCAUGAAACAUAAGAAAAAAAUGAAAGAUUGGAAAUUUCAGUGAAAUAUUUCAUGACAUUUUACAAGGCUGUGAAAUAUUUCUUAUUUUUAAGGGGCUAGAGUAUGCAACCCGCACUUAAACAUACAAAAAUAGAAGAAAGCUACAAUUUUUACAUUUUGCAAAACAUGAGAAGGGACAGGUAUUUUUCCAAAUCUUUCAUAAAUUUCUGAUAUUUCAU
rnacentral:lncRNA from 1 species